AUUAACUGAAAUCAGUUAACAUUCUAACUUCUCCAAAAAUGUGUUUGGCAGAGGGAGUGCAUGAAGAAAAAAUCUUUUGAAAGUAAAAUAGAUAUUAAAAAGCUAAGUCAUUCAGAUUGCUAGAAUAAAUAAUGGCUGAUCUCAUCACCUCUCAGGCUGUUUGUCAUCCUAGAAAUAGGUAGACCUAUCCAUUAUACAAAAAUCUAUCAGGAGAUGUCUCCAUUUGAACCAGAGAACCAGUAUACUAGUAAGGUCCUUGCUUUGAGCCAGAAGGCUUGGGAUUGAGUCUUGGUUCUGUCACUUACUAUUUUGGUUGGUCUUGAGUAAGUCUCUCAGCUUGUCUGAUUUGCAAUUUUUUCACCUACCCAAAGGUGAUGACAAAACCAUACUUGUAAGGAUUCUGAGGAUUUGAUGAGAUGAUGCAUGUAACAGUUGUUGAAGAACUGUAAAACCUGUACAUUGUUAUAAAUGUUAAUUGUUCCCUCAUAGUCACUGAAUGCCCAGGUCCUGAGCAAAAGCAAGAGUGGUACCAUUUCUUACACACUGGUUGUGUUUUGAUAAUAGCAGGGGCAUCUCAGAGAUCAUCUCAAGUAAUGGGGCCUGACUUCUGUGAUGAGUGAAAGAAUCCAGGUUGGUAAAACAGAUGGCCAUCAAAUGACCAAAAAGGUAUGGUCAGAUGCUUCCCUUCCCCCUAUUGAGAGUGAGCUGAAAUGCUAACAGGACAGAGGUUUCCGUGGUAAGAUGUUAAUGUGAAGUCUUACUGUAUUUUCAGUGUUUGAGGAAAAGCUAAUGGGAACUUUCCAGGGAAGAUGGUGGGUGAUAUUAACAUGAAAAUAUGUAUGAGAAUUCUUAAAUGAAGGCUUUGUGGGAUGGAUUAGAGGCUAAUAAGAC
rnacentral:lncRNA from 1 species